rnacentral:lncRNA from 1 species
GGUGAGUCAUGAGUGGUGCUUAAUUGGGCCAAAAUGCAGAGUGGGUCCCACAGGUGUGAAUGGGCACACGUGUGAUGAGUACGAUGAAUGAGUUUGGUACGUGUGAGAUGUGUGAAUGGAGAUGGUUUGGCAUGGCAUGAGGUAAGGUCAUGUGAGGACCCUACAUUGUUGGGGCGGUGUCUUAUGCCGAAGGGAACCUUCAAAUUUUAGCCUGUGCUCACGUCUAAAUCCUUUACAUAUGUCUCUUUUUCAUCCACCAUUUUGUAUAUAUAUCAGUAUUCUUUUUCUGAGGGAAUCUACC